AGAUAGUUGGUGAGGUAACGGCUCACCAAGUCAACGAUCUGUAGCCGAACUGAGAGGUUGAUCGGCCGCAUUGGGACUGAGACACGGCCCAGACUCCUACGGGAGGCAGCAGUGGGGAAUAUUGCGCAAUGGGGGCAACCCUGACGCAGCAACGCCGCGUGCAGGAAGAAGGUCUUCGGAUUGUAAACUGUUGUCGCAAGGGAAGAAGACAGUGACGGUACCUUGUGAGAAAGUCACGGCUGACUACGUGCCAGCAGCCGCGGUAAUACGUAGGUGACAAGCGUUGUCCGGAUUUACUGGGUGUAAAGGGCGCGUAGGCGGACUGUCAAGUCAGUCGUGAAAUACCGGGGCUUAACCCCGGGGCUGCGAUUGAAACUGACAGCCUUGAGUAUCGGAGAGGAAAGCGGAAUUCCUAGUGUAGCGGUGAAAUGCGUAGAUAUUAGGAGGAACACCAGUGGCGAAGGCGGCUUUCUGGACGACAACUGACGCUGAGGCGCGAAAGUGUGGGGAGCAAACAGGAUUAGAUACCCUGGUAGUCCACACCGUAAACGAUGGAUACUAGGUGUAGGAGGUAUCGACCCCUUCUGUGCCGCAGUUAACACAAUAAGUAUCCCACCUGGGGAGUACGACCGCAAGGUUGAAACUCAAAGGAAUUGACGGGGGCCCGCACAAGCAGUGGAGUAUGUGGUUUAAUUCGAUGAUACGCGAGGAACCUUACCCGGGCUCGAACGGCACCUGGAUCACCCAGAGAUGGGCGAGUCUUCGGACAGGUGUCGAGGUGCUGCAUGGUUGUCGUCAGCUCGUGCCGUGAGGUGUCGGCUCAAGUGCCAUAACGAGCGCAACCCUUGCCGCCAGUUGCCAUCAGGUGAUGCUGGGCACUCUGGCGGGACUGCCACCGCAAGGUGUGAGGAGGGGGGGGAUGACGUCAAAUCAGCACGGCCCUUACGUCCGGGGCGACACACGUGUUACAAUGGCGGCCACAGAGGGAAGCUACCCCGCGAGGGGAUGCGGAUCUCGAAAAGCCGUCCCAGUUCGGACUGGAGUCUGCAACCCGACUCCACGAAGUUGGAUUCGCUAGUAAUCGCGCAUCAGCCAUGGCGCGGUGAAUACGUUCCCGGGCCUUGUACACACCGCCCGUCAAGCCAUGGAAGCCGCGGGCGCCUGAAGUCCGUGACCGGAAGGAGCGGCCUAGGGCGAAAGUGGUAACUGGGGCUAAGUCGUAACAAGGUAACCGUACUAGUACGAUGGUGAG
rnacentral:rRNA from 1 species